rnacentral:rRNA from 1 species
CCUACGCGCGGCAGCAGUGGGGAAUAUUGGACAAUGGGCGAAAGCCUGAUCCAGCCAUGCCGCGUGUGUGAAGAAGGCCUUCGGGGUGUAAAGCACUUUCAGUGGGGAAGAAAGCCUUGGGGCUAAUACCCUCGAGGAAGGACAUCACCCACAGAAGAAGCACCGGCUAACUCCGUGCCAGCAGCCGCGGUAAUACGGAGGGUGCGAGCGUUAAUCGGAAUUACUGGGCGUAAAGCGCGCGUAGGCGGUCUGAUAAGCCGGUUGUGAAAGCCCCGGGCUCAACCUGGGAACGGCAUCCGGAACUGUCAGGCUAGAGUGCAGGAGAGGAAGGUAGAAUUCCCGGUGUAGCGGUGAAAUGCGUAGAGAUCGGGAGGAAUACCAGUGGCGAAGGCGGCCUUCUGGACUGACACUGACGCUGAGGUGCGAAAGCGUGGGUAGCAAACAGGAUUAGAUACCCUAGUAGUC